GGGCGCGUGGCGGAAUUGGCAGACGCGCAGGACUUAGGAUCCUGUGGAGCAAUCCGUGCAGGUUCGACCCCUGUCGCGCCCACCA
rnacentral:tRNA from 1 species